UAGUCUGGGAUACCACUUGGAAACAGGUGCUAAUACCGGAUAAGAAAGCGGAUCGCAUGAUCAGCUUUUAAAAGGCGGCGUAAGCUGUCGCUAUGGGAUGGCCCCGCGGUGCAUUAGCUAGUUGGUAAGGUAAAGGCUUACCAAGGCGAUGAUGCAUAGCCGAGUUGAGAGACUGAUCGGCCACAUUGGGACUGAGACACGGCCCAAACUCCUACGGGAGGCAGCAGGU
rnacentral:rRNA from 1 species